rnacentral:misc_RNA from 1 species
GGAUCAAGUUCCUCCUUUCCCAUCUGAGACAGCAAUAUCAAUAGUCGAAGAAGAGCUUGGAGGUCCUGUGGCCAAUAUAUUUGAACGGUUUGAUCAGGAACCGAUAGCUGCUGCUAGUCUUGGUCAGGUUCAUCGUGCAAAAUUGAAGGGGCAGGAAGUUGUGGUGAAAGUACAAAGGCCAAGUCUAAAGGAACUCUUUGAUAUUGAUCUUAAGAACCUAAGGGUCAUAGCAGAAUACCUUCAAAAACUUGACCCCAAGUCAGAUGGUGCCAAGAGAGAUUGGGUUGCUAUAUAUGAUGAGUGUGCAAACGUCCUGUAUCAGGAGAUAGAUUACACCAAGGAAGCAGCUAAUGCUGAG